GGCAAACCUUGCGCCUGAAUGGCAAGUCCUUUAACAAGCGAGAAGGGAGCUGGGGAGGAAAACGGAGCGACGGGCGGAGAGAGAGAGGAGAGAAAAGUGAGGGGCAGGUGCUCUUCCUCUUUGUGACUCGUGACUGUGGAGGGUGGAGAGGCGACCAUCCCCUUCUCCUUGGAUUAAAACCCCACUCCCUCGCACCUCCGGCUCCGGGACCCCGACGAACGCCGAGGAAGCCACUGUGAGCUACUCUCAUUCUGCCCCCAAAUCCAGAGGAGACAAGAGGAAGGGGCAGAUCUAUGGGCAACUGCAAGAGUUCAUCUCGUGCACUCCUAGGAAAGGCCCAUGUUGUUCCGGAUCCAGAAUGGAGGAUUCCGGACUUCGGAAAGACCCAUGUUCCAGAUUUCGAAUGGAGGAUUGAUGACUUCUCAUCACUGCUUAAGACUGGAGCUAAGAGAGCAACAUCUGGCCCUUUUCACUGCUCUGGUUAUAACUGGGACCUGCAAGUGAGUCUAAUGCAUAAAGAAGCUGGUUCUGUAACUCCAUAUGCUGCUCUUCGUCUUGUGCCAUCCGAACUAAGCUUGGUGCCAGCUCACACAGUGCAUGCGGUGUUUGAGUUGUCAAUAUACAACCAUUCAAAAGGAAUGUACUAUGGAUGCAAAGCUAGCUACAGCUUUGAUUUCAAGAAUUUCUACUCGAAGGAGCAUUGCUUGAUUCCUCUUAAGAAGCUACUGAAAUCAUCUGCUUUUCUAGUUGAUGAUAGUUGUGUCUUUGCUGUGGAGAUAUUAAAAAUUGAUGCCUGCUCUCCGGAAAAGAAGGCUGUUGUGGUUCAGAAGAAGCCUACCACAGUUCAGAACCUCUUUGUCCAGGAGAAGGGGUUCGUCAAAGGGACAUACACUUGGAACAUGAACAAUUUCCUUGAACUGGACUUGGAUCACUCUGUCCGUUCUCCUACAUUUGAAGUUGGCGGGCAUAAAUGGUACAUCCGCAUGUACCCGCGUGGUGACUUGUACAGCACUGAUUGCCUCAGCUUGUACUUAUUCCUGGAUGCCUCGGAUGAGCUCCAUCUCGAGUCCAAGAAGGUGGCUGUAAUGACUCUGUCCAUCCUGAACCAAAAGAAUGGGAAACACUUGACUAAAAAUUCAGGUGGGGCCCUUUUUCGCGUACGUGGCACUCCAGGCCGUCCCGACAGCCGUUAGACGGCGUUAGACGGCGCCGUUCGGUCCUAGCAGUCAAAAGCGCGAACCGUUACUCCUUCUCCACUCUGCUCGCUCGCUCUCUUCUCGCUCUCGCUCUGUUCUUGGUCGCCGCACCCGUCGCCGCCGCGCCGCACCGCCGCCGCAGCGCCAUGGUGUCGUGGAGUGAUGGGUCGGAUAGCAGCGAGCACACCAGGCAGUACAUGAGCUCAGAUUCCGACGACGGCACCAUUAAGGUUCCUGCUAGCACCGAAGACUCGGAUUUCGAGGGCCCUGAGACAGAUAUGUAUGUUUUGUGCCAUGGACACGGGAAGGCAGCAGAAAGGCGUGUUGCUUUCGAAGGGAUUCACACUGGCAGGAGGUUUCUUUGUUGUGCAGAGAAGGAAGGUAAAAACUGUGGACUAGUAGAAUGGAUUGAUCCAUCUUGGCCCACUACCCUUGAGAAUGCACUGUCCAAGUUGUGGUCUAUGUAUGAACAGAGUAAGAUGGACAGGAAUGAGGAAUGUCUGAUGCAUUCAUUUACUGUUCAUGACCUGACACAAGAGAAGAAGAAACUCCAGGCCAGCUAUGAGAAGUUGAUUGAAGAUGUCAAUGCACUUAUGGAUGCCCAGGAGCAGAGGGCAGUGAUAGAAAGGAAAGAUGCUGAAACAACCAAGUUGCAGGAGCAGUAUGACACUUUGAAGAACAUAGCAGCUGCUCAAGGUACUGUCAUUAGGAACAUGAAGUUGAAGCUAGCAAGAGAGAAGAAGAAUUUGCAGAUCCACAUUGAUGAGCUCAAGAAGACAGUUGAAGAGAGCAAUGUGAAGCUGGAGGGGAUCAAGGCCAUCAUAAAUGGAUAAGCAGUGCAAGAGAAGAAUGGGCAAUAUCAUUUGGCAUUUGCUGACCUUUUGCAGGGUGUGGUUUGGCAUUUGUUGUAAUGAUAGUAGUUUAAAUUCUAUUAACUAUAAGUACUCCUGAACUAUGGAUAUGUAAUCUUAAGUAAGAUGUUUGCAUUUGAACUAGUGUUGAAUGU